rnacentral:rRNA from 1 species
AGAGUUUGAUCAUGGCUCAGGACGAACGCUGGCGGCGUGCCUAACACAUGCAAGUCGAACGCUGUCCAUUCGGUGGCAACACUGAUGAAGACGGAGUGGCGAACGGGUGAGUAGCACGUGAGCAACCUGCCCCGAAGACCGGGACAACACCGGGAAACCGGUGCUAAUACCGGAUGCCCCCACCGGGCCGCAUGACCUGGUGAGGAAAUGGAUUCCGCUUCGGGAGGGGCUCGCGGCCUAUCAGCUAGUUGGUGGGGUAACGGCCUACCAAGGCGUCGACGGGUAGCUGGUCUGAGAGGACGAUCAGCCACACUGGGACUGAGACACGGCCCAGACUCCUACGGGAGGCAGCAGUGGGGAAUCUUGCGCAAUGGGCGAAAGCCUGACGCAGCAACGCCGCGUGAGGGACGAAGGCUUUCUGAGUUGUAAACCUCUUUCAGCAGGAACGAUAGUGACGGUACCUGCAGAAGAAGCACCGGCCAACUACGUGCCAGCAGCCGCGGUGAUACGUAGGGUGCAAGCGUUGUCCGGAUUUAUUGGGCGUAAAGAGCUCGUAGGCGGUUUGAUAAGUCGGAUGUGAAACCCCCAGGCUUAACCUGGGGCCGCCAUUCGAUACUGUCAUGGCUAGAGUCCGGUAGGGGACCAUGGAAUUCCUGGUGUAGCGGUGAAAUGCGCAGAUAUCAGGAGGAACACCAGUGGCGAAGGCGGUGGUCUGGGCCGGUACUGACGCUGAGGAGCGAAAGCGUGGGGAGCGAACAGGAUUAGAUACCCCCGUAGUCC